GAUGAACGCUGACAGAAUGCUUAACACAUGCAAGUCUUUGGCGAAGCUGUGCUUGCACAGCCUAGCCAAGGCGGACGGGUGAGUAACGCGUAAGGAACUUGCCCUGCAGUCAGGGAUAACAGACGGAAACGACUGAUAAGACCUGGUAAAGUCAGGCGGACUCAUGUCCAGCCUGAUGAAAAGAGAUGCUGCAGGAGAGCCUUGCGUCCUAUUAGCUUGUUGGUGGGGUAACGGCCCACCAAGGCGAUGAUAGGUAGCCGGCCUGAGAGGGUGGACGGCCACAAGGGGACUGAGAUACGACCCUUACUCCUACGGGAGGCAGCAGUGGGGAAUAUUGGACAAUGGGGGCAACCCUGAUCCAGCAAUUCUGUGUGCACGAUGAAGGUUUUCGGAUUGUAAAGUGCUUUCAGCAGGGAAGAAAAAAUGACGGUACCUGCAGAAGAAGCGACGGCUAAAUACGUG
rnacentral:rRNA from 1 species